CACGCCUUAAACGAUGUAUGCUUGGUGUUGGGUCGCAAGACUCAGUGCCGGAGGAAACCUAUUAAGCAUACCACCUGGGGAGUACGAUCGCAAGGUUGAAACUCAAAGGAAUUGACGGGGGCCCGCACAAGCGGUGGAUCAUGUGGUUUAAUUCGAUGCAACGCGAAGAACCUUACCCGGGCUCGAAGUGCAGGUAGUAAAGAGAUGAAAGUCAAAUGAACCGUUAAGCCGGUUGCCUGCAGAGGUGC
rnacentral:rRNA from 1 species